CAGCAGCCGCGGGAAUACGUAGGUGGCAAGCGUUGUCCGGAAUUAUUGGGCGUAAAGGGCUCGCAGGCGGUUUCUUAAGUCUGAUGUGAAAGCCCCCGGCUCAACCGGGGAGGGUCAUUGGAAACUGGGAAACUUGAGUGCAGAAGAGGAGAGUGGAAUUCCACGUGUAGCGGUGAAAUGCGUAGAGAUGUGGAGGAACACCAGUGGCGAAGGCGACUCUCUGGUCUGUAACUGACGCUGAGGAGCGAAAGCGUGGGGAGCGAACAGGAUUAGAUACCCCAGUAGUCCCUGUCUCUUAUAC
rnacentral:rRNA from 1 species